CACCCACCCCCUAAAGGCAACGAGUCCACAAAGUUAAAGGAAAGGACAGAAACUCAGAACUGAGCUGAGAGUGCAGCCUUAGAGCCCGUCUGCCAGACAGAGCCGCUUCUCUCUUGGCACAGUGCUGCACCGCACCGCAACGCACCACACCGUACCGCACACUGCUCACGGGGACUUUGCCAGGAGAUAACUUUACACCAGAGGCUUUUGUGUGUGUGUCGGUGCGUCUGUGUGUGUGUGUGAGAGAGAGAGAGAGACAGAGACAGAGACAGAGACAGAGUGGCCACCGUGACUGCAGUGUCCCUCCUCCAGGGCGGCCAUUGUCAUUGUCACCUGCCCCGCAGUGGAGUCGACACAGGCAGGUCAGUUUCACACCUCUCUUCCCUCUCUCUCCAUCCUCUCUUCCCUCUCUCUCCAUCCUCUCUUCCCUAUCUCUCUUCCCUCUCUUCCCUCUCUCUCCAUCCUCUCUUCCCUCUCUUCUCUCUCUCUCCAUCCUCUCUUCCCUCUCUCUCAUCCUCUCUUCCCUCUCUCUCCAUCCUCUCUUCCCUCUCUCCAUCCUCUCUUCUCUCUCUCUCCAUCCUCUCUUCCCUCUCUCUCAUCCUCUCUUCCCUCUCUCUCCAUCCUCUCCUCCCUCUCUCCAUCCUUUCUUCCCUCUCUCUUCAUCCUUUCAUUCCUCUGUCUCUAUUCUUCCGUCCGUCCGUCCCUGUCCCCCUCUUCCUCUGUGUGAGCUCUGCUUGGCUCACUGUUG
rnacentral:lncRNA from 1 species